CACUAUCUUUACAAAUUCUGCUAUAUGGAAUGUGUCUGGAAUGUCUGAAACAUUGAAAACAAUUGUAAAAAUGACCACCUUUUGGGUCGACCUUCCAUACACCCAAACCGACCCGAAAUCUCGAUUUCCAGUGCUGGUGAGCUAUCACUGCCCUUUCAAUAACUUAUUGCCUCUAUAAUCUAUAUUGCACUAAUAGAAGAUUCAAAGUCUCUGCAAAAAGAAAUUAACAAUCCAUAUUAUAUUUCAAAUUGCUAAAUAAUUUAUUUAAAUGCUGAAAAAAUAUCCACUAAAGGAG
rnacentral:misc_RNA from 1 species